rnacentral:tRNA from 1 species
AGCAACAUGGCCGAAGUUAUUAAGAAGCUGUAAAUUGUAAAUUUACCCAUGGGACCACAACCCUGUUGCUA